rnacentral:rRNA from 1 species
AACGAACGCUGGCGGCAUGCCUAACACAUGCAAGUCGAACGAUGCUUUCGGGCAUAGUGGCGCACGGGUGCGUAACGCGUGGGAAUCUGCCCUUGGGUUCGGAAUAACAGUGAGAAAUUGCUGCUAAUACCGGAUGAUGUCUUCGGACCAAAGAUUUAUCGCCCAGGGAUGAGCCCGCGUAGGAUUAGCUAGUUGGUGGGGUAAUGGCCUACCAAGGCGACGAUCCUUAGCUGGUCUGAGAGGAUGAUCAGCCACACUGGGACUGAGACACGGCCCAGACUCCUACGGGAGGCAGCAGUGGGGAAUAUUGGACAAUGGGCGCAAGCCUGAUCCAGCAAUGCCGCGUGAGUGAUGAAGGCCUUAGGGUUGUAAAGCUCUUUUACCCGGGAUGAUAAUGACAGUACCGGGAGAAUAAGCUCCGGCUAACUUCGUG